rnacentral:rRNA from 1 species
UACGUAGGGGGCGAGCGUUGUCCGGAAUUAUUGGGCGUAAAGAGCUCGUAGGCGGUGUGUCACGUCGGCCGUGAAAACCUGCAGCUUAACUGUGGGCGUGCGGUCGAUACGGGCAUCACUGGAGUUCGGCAGGGGAGACUUGAAUUCCUGGUGUAGCGGUGAAAUUCGUAGAUAUCGGGAGGAACACCAGUGGCGAAGGCGGCGAGCUGGGAAGAAACUGACGCUGAGGUGCGAAAGCGUGGGGAGCAAACAGG